CCUACGGGUGACAGCAGUGGGGAAUAUUGGGCAAUGGGCGCAAGCCUGACCCAGCAAUGCCGCGUGAAUGAAGAAGGUCUUAGGAUUGUAAAAUUCUGUCCUUUGGGGAGAAAAGAAUGACGGUACUAUAGGAGGACGCCCCGGCUAACUACGUGCCAGCAGCCGCGGUAAUACGUAGGGGGCGAGCGUUGUCCGGAAUUACUGGGCGUAAAGAGAGCGUAGGCGGCACUACAAGUCUUAUGUGAAAUACCCGGGCUUAACUGGGGGGUUGCAUGUGAAACUGUAGGGCUUGAGUACAGGAGAGGCAAGCGGAAUUCGUAGUGUAGCGGUGAAAUGCAUAGAUAUCAGGAGGAACACCAGUGGCGAAGGCGGCCUGCUGGACUGUAACUGACGCUGAGGCUCGAAAGUGUGGGGAGCAAACAGGAUUAGAUACCCCAGUAGUC
rnacentral:rRNA from 1 species